CGAGGCUAUCUGCGAGAGCAGUCAUUUCGAAACCUGAUCUGGGAGAAAGUGCAGACUAAAUAAAAUUUCAUUUUGACUUGGCCUCCUGCUGAGAAUGGGACUGCUUUGUUUCAGCCAACAGAAGCAGCAAGUAGAAAGGUAACUCAGCAUACCACAAAGGAAGUCAGUAAUGACAGUCUUCCUUCUGUAAAGAGCUCUGAGGAAAGUGGAUCACUGUUGGCUGAUGUUAGCACUUGCGGCUGCGGGUGCAGCUCUGAAAGAGGUCUGAAAUGGAGACAGAAAAUAUCUACUGGCUGCCUUCCACAAAUAUUAAAGAGGACCCGACCCACCCAUCCCAGUCUACCCCUGUUCUGGUUUUUCCCUUAUUGUUCAAGAGUUAGAAGAGGAUGUAAAUCAGAUGCAUUUUGAUGGUUGAUUAUCCCAAAUGUAACAUGCCCAUCAAGAAUAUCUGAAGGGCUGUAAAUGGAUCCUUUACAGAAAUCCUUAUAAGCUUUGAGAUGAUCAUAAUUCUAACACUGGUAAGGGGCGUUUUACAUCACCCUGCCAGAACCAGACACCACCGAACUUGUGUAAUUUGCUAUUUUACAUCUUUAUGUUUUAUUUGUUCCUGUUCUCCAAAUAAAUUGCAGCACGUUUUCAAGAAGGAGUUCUAAUCAAAAUGUUGUCUUGAAAUAUCUAAGCAUAUGGCUAUACUACACCCUAACAAUCUAUUUUUAAUGCAAAUCUAUUUUGUACAAAUCCUGGCACCUUGUGGAUGAGUGGAAGCCGUCAUGUAAGCACCACAGAAGCACAGCCUUGUGAAUAAAAAUGCCAACUUUCAACUGUUUAUUCUGGAAAUGUUCCGCUGGCACUGGAAACAGUUUCUGGCAAGCUCUGGUUAUGUGAAGAGCUUAUGUGGGCUCUUUAUUUUCAGCCAAUUCCACAAGUACUAUUGAAAGCUGAGGCUAGAGAACAUCUUGUCAGGGCUUCAGUAAGUAAAGAGUAAAAAUAUCUGUGCAUCUCCAAUCAUCCAAAUAUUAAGUUAAUUUGCAUUUGCAAAUUAAGAAUUUCUUCUCCCUAAAUGAGACCAGAUUUUAUUUUACUGCAGGUUUUAGCAGAUUGAAUAGUGGUUGCAAUGGUAAUUUUGCAGAUGCUUAUGCUUUUCCUUCCGCUAGUAUUACAGCAAGCAAAAUAUGUCUUAACUUACUAUUAUUUUUCAGAAUGGCACUAGAUAUAGAAUAUGCAUUGCUUUAAACACAUUGAUUAAGGUAUGUUGAAACAUUUCUUGUGGAAGACGUUGAACUAAACUAGCAAAUUGUCCCAUCAACAAUGUCUAGCUAGGUUAACAUGAUAAGCAAACAUACACAAACAGCACUUACAAAUACUGCUAAAGCUGUUCAUAUACUUUACGUCUCUCACUACAAAAAAAUUAAUAAAAAAAAAUUGUAUUUAUGCGGUGCUCCUCUAUGUACUUUUUCAAUGGCUUCUUCCCUUUAGCAUGGCCCUCACACUUCUCCUGGAAAAUUAAGUAAAGUUAUACUUUUCCUAAAACUCUCUGGAAAUAUGUAAUGUCUUCCUAUCACAAGGAGAUCAAUUAGCUGUGUUUGGAACCUACAUUAGACUUGCUUGUUCCCUUUCCUUCUGCUUACAGAGUAAAGUAGAUGUUAAUUACAAUAUAUCUGUACACAAUCCUUAAAAAAAUACACAUUUUCCACAAGCUAUUCAUAUGAUAAAGUAGCUAGCCCAACACCUUCAUGACAUCGCCAGAUUCUGCCUCUUAGAAAUAUAUCCAUCUAAGGCAAUUUCCUGUCCUAUAGAAAGAACGGAGAGGAAAUAUUUCCAAAGUAGGGAAAAUCUUCACCGGAAUAAAUGUCACUGGAAGAAAUGUCCCAAUUCAGUGGCAACUUCAAACUUUGGAUUCGGAUUGAGACUAGCCACCAGACAAAAAGACAGGGUGACUUCCCCCAGUAAGGACAAGGACAAAACAAAUUAACAGAGGUUCUAACUUUUCUCUACUCUAUACACAAUUAAAAAAAAUUAAAGGGGUUGUAAAGGUAAAAAAAAAAAUCCC